UUAAGAACUGGUUCCAACCGUUAAACAGCUUCAGGGCUAUUGGGAAAGAGACACAUAAAUGUUUACUUCAGUAUAACCUGUUAAGGCAGCAGACUGUUCCCAGGGCUCAAUAAGAAUACUGAGAAUUCUCAUGCCACUAUGAAGAAAUACCUGAGACUGGGUAAUUUAUAAACCAAAAGAUUUAAUUGACUCAGUUUCGCAUGGUUUGGGAGACCUCAGGAAACUUACAGUUGUGGUGGAAGGCACCUCUUUACAGGGUUGCAGGAGAGAGAAUGAGUGCCAAGCAAAGGGGGGAAAGCCCCUUGUAAAACCAUCAGAUCUCAUAAGAACUCACUAUCACAAGAACAGCAUGGGAGUAACCGCCCCCAUGAUUCCGUUGUCUCUCACCGGGUCCUUCCCAUGACAUGUGGGGAUUAUGGGAACUACAAUUUAAGAUGAGAUUUGGGUAGUGACACGGUCAAACCAUAUCAAAAGGUAACUUGAUCUUGAGCUAUGGGAUUGGGGCAGUGGCACGACUAGUGGAAGGAGUCUGGCCCAGCAGGUAGGGGCUGUGUCAUGGUGGGUCUUAGGCGCCUUGCUGAAGGGUAUGCACCUUAACUGAAGGGUUUUAAGUCAGGAAGCAGCAUGACUAGGUUUUCGAUAUAGAAAGAUCUCUCUAUGGUCUGAAUGUGCCCCCCAAAAUUGAUGUGUUGGAUACAAUCUCUAAUGCAUCAGUGUUGGAAGGUUGGGUCCUUGGGGAGGUAUUUUCAUCACAAGGGCUCUGCCCUCAUAAAUGGAUUAAUGCUGCCAUAAAAAGAGGUUUGGGGAGUGGGUUCACUCUCUCUUGCUCUUCUGCUCUUUUGCCAUAUAAGAACAUAGCAUUCCUCACCUUUGAAGGACACAGCAUUCAAAGAGCCAUCUUGGAAGCAGAGAAACCAGGCCGUAACCUGCCAGCACUUUGAUCUUGGACUUCCUAGCGUCUAGAACUGUGAGAAAUACAUUUCCGUCCUGUUCUUCUAGUCUCAGGAAUUCCCUUACAGCAACACAAAAUGGACUAAAACACUGCUUGCAGUAUGGAGGAUGGGUUCCAACUGAACUACCAGGAUGUCCAGACGAGACAGGCUGGGGAUGGGCUAGGACUAGAGGAAUACAUAGAAGGUAAAAUUAGUGGGGUUGGGACGGAAAAAGGGAGUUGUGCCAUAUUGCACAUAGACUUGUGGUAUGGGUGUCUGGAAAAACACCUGAGAUUGGUAAUUCAAGAGGAGUGUUUUGAGGUGUGUGAGUCUGUCUGUAAGGAGAAUGUAUGUCCAACAUACAAAUUAUGUUGUAGAAGCUUAAGAAAGAAGCAUUACAGAAAGAAGCAACUAUUUAACCUACUCUCAAAAGGUUCAACAAAGCCCAGAAGACUUGACCAUGUUCAUAGGCAGAGAAGAAAGAUCAGCAAAAAGUAAAAAAAAAAAAAAGACAAAAGGAAAACCAGGAGAAUUGUUAGAGAAAAUUAUGACAAGGGGACAAGUCUGAAGCUCCUGUGGAGGAUGGCCCCAGCUGCCACAAGGGGAGUGUAAAAGGAGGUGAGAAAAUACAACCUCAUGUAAAGAACAAAAUUACAUCAUGUACCACGUAUUUAUUUUUAAGGGCAUCAUUAAAGCUCUCCUUUUAUAAUGUAAAUGAAAC
rnacentral:lncRNA from 1 species